rnacentral:rRNA from 1 species
UACGGAGGGUGCGAGCGUUGUCCGGAAUCACUGGGCGUAAAGGGCGCGUAGGUGGCCUGUGGAAGUCUGCGGUGAAAGCCCGGCGCUCAACGCCGGGUCGGCCGUGGAUACUCUCGGGCUCGAGCUUACUAGAGGCAGAUGGAAUUCCGGGUGUAGCGGUGGAAUGCGUAGAGAUCCGGAAGAACACCGGUGGCGAAAGGCGGUCUGCUGGGG